CGUCGUGCAUUGCUGAAGGGAACGCUUGAAGUCAGUCGCGUUGUCCGGAACUCAGCCUUGCUUUUGCUUGGUGCACUUUCCGGAUGACCGGUCCACCUCCAUUUUUACCCGCCGAAAAAGGCUGGAAUAAUGGGGCACCCCCCGGGGGGGUAUUAAAUCUGGGCCCCUUCCGGGGGUGGGAACCAAGAACCCCACCCCCCCCCAGGGCGGGGGUCCCCCCCUUUUCCCCUUUAGAUUCUUGCCUUAUGGCUUUUAACCAACCCGCUUUAAACCCCGACCCAGGAAUCUAACCUUCCUGGCAAUGGUUGGGGGGAAAACCCCAACGCCUAAUGAAAGUGAAAAUUUAAAACCCUGGCCUGGGGAACCUCCACCCCCCGACCCAAACUUCUCUGACCGAUCCCCCGGAAAACAUGGAUGGUGGGAACCCAAAAAAGGUGAACUUUUCCUGAAUAAGGGGAAACCCAAAGAAACUCUGGUGGAAGGUCCUAACCAAUCUGACCUGCCAAUCCAUCCUCCAAUUUGGGUAUUAGGGCCAAAAAAUUAUCCAACCCUCUAAUAACUGGUUCCUGGCCAAAUUUCCCCCCAGAUAA
rnacentral:rRNA from 1 species